rnacentral:misc_RNA from 1 species
GAUGAAGAACGUAGCGAAAUGCGAUAAGUAAUGUGAAUUGCAGAAUUCCGUGAAUCAUCGAAUCUUUGAACGCACAUUGCGCCCGCCAGCAUUCUGGCGGGCAUGCCUGUUCGAGCGUCAUUUCAACCCUCGACCUCCCUUUGGGGAAGUCGGCGUUGGGGACCGGCAGCACACCGCCGGCCCUGAAAUGGAGUGGCGGCCCGUCCGCGGCGACCUCUGCGUAGUAAUCCAACUCGCACCGGAACCCCGACGCGGCCACGCCGUAAAACACCCAACUUCUGAACGUUGACCUCGAAUCAGGUAGGACUACCCGCUGAACUUAAGCAUAUCAAUAAGCGGAGGA